UCUCCGUUAUCCGAAGCGGUUUCGCUAGAGUGCCCAGCUUGACCUGAUGGCAACUAACGAUAAGGGUUGCGCUCGUUGCGGGACUUAACCCAACAUCUCACGACACGAGCUGACGACAGCCAUGCAGCACCUGUGUUACCGCUCCCUUUCGGGCACAUCCACCUCUCAGCGGACUUCGGUACAUGUCAAGGGUAGGUAAGGUUAUUCGCGUUGCAUCGAAUUAAUCCACAUCAUCCACCGCUUGUGCGGGUCCCCGUCAAUUCCUUUGAGUUUUAAUCUUGCGACCGUACUCCCCAGGCGGUCAACUUCACGCGUUAGCUGCGGUACUGAGAAAUCGCUUCCCCAACACCUAGUUGACAUCGUUUAGGGCGUGGACUAC
rnacentral:misc_RNA from 1 species